CGAAUCCCUCCGUGAGGCGAUACAAGUCGCCCGCAACACAGUGCAAGUCGAGGACAACAUCACCCAACCAGGCAGAGAAUAGUUAAUUAAUUCAAUAAAUUAAAGCAAUUACAUUAAAUAUAAGAUAAUGAAAUAAAGUGGAUACGGGUGGAUAUGUGUGAUAGGCAGGCAUUGAGCCAAAAGGCAGACUAGCAGCAGUUAGCAGCACGAAUCAAGCGAAUGGACAGUCAUCCGCUCAUGUCGGCCAAUUUGCAGAUGUAUAAAUAACAUAUCGUGCAGGAUAAAGCGAGAUAACAUAAGAUGAACAUAGAUGGGUAGUACGCAGAUAAGUAAAUAAAUAAGACAGGACAUCAGUAAUAUCGGAUCAUGUCGGAUGAAAUCCGAUCCCCGAGCCGUCAACCGGGACCCACUCUCAACCGGCGCCAACAGAACGGGAGCUCACCGCAAACCAAGGCCACCAUCAGCCAGAUCAAUGGAUAAGCGUUAGAUGAUUCGAACCAGGCAAUGAAUAAUCCACAAGUCUUAGAUCCACAAUUGGAUCCAGACUCGUAUCUAAAUCACAACCAUACACAGAUGCACCCGCCUCUGCAUGGCCCAACAUAGAGGAAGGUGUUGCCCUAUCAGUUCAGUGAUACAACUCUACCACCCAUCAAGGCAAAGUCGUCUGCCAGCGCUCAUGAUCAAGAAUGUUAAUGUCAAUAUUAAUGUUGUCUAUUAGUAUUCAAUCCCACCCUAAGGGCGUCACAUCCCUUCAGUAGGCCGUCUAAAGUGUAGAAUACCAUAAAAUAUAAGAUGGAAAGGAAAGAAAAGGAAAGGAAAUGUAAUCGAUAAUAACUAUGACCGCCAGCCACCACAGCCAAUGGUCGCGAUGAACCAAGCAAAUGUGAGCAUGAUAUUGCAAAACCCAUUCCGUGCCAAUUAAGAAAGAGAGGGAGAGGGUAGUGAUAAACGCAAACGCGAAGUAUAGAAUAGACGUGAAUGCGUUUGCCAGCAUAAUGCGCAGCAAGUGCACCCAAUGCAAUGCACGCAUAAUGAGUCUAAUAAUCGAGGUUACCACUUCAUUACUGCAACGUGGAUUUAAAGCCAAUUCAAAGCUGUAGUUCGUUGACGGUUCUUCCCACCCAAAUGCCUCAAGAAAUAGGCUGGCCAUCGAGCGAUAUACCGAAAUAAUAAGCAGCCAGUAAUAACUAAAGCAGCAGAUUGGCUGGGUCAGUUGCCUGCCGCACGACUCAGUCGGACACCGUACCAUAGCUAAGACUUAAUAACAGAGAUAAGCAAUGUAAUGGCCAAUACACCAACGUAUUCAUAAUAGGAUUGUUGUAAGCACAUACCACGAAGGCAUUUGCGUGGAUGAAACAUCUUCAGUACGAAGGAAACCAAGACCAAAACCAAAAUAGGCCAACAACCAAAACCAAGAUAAGCAGUAAGAAAAGUACAAUCAGCGACCGCCCAUCGACCCAGCCGAACUGCGAGCUGCGAGUGAGAAGACUGAUAUUGAAAACGCGCCAGCAGCGAAGUCGUAGGGUUUAGAGGAUUGGAGUAAAUAAAAUAAUUGAGAGAAUAAUAUAUCAAUAUAUUGUAAUUAAUAUUAGGUGAAACUGAGUUUGAAAUCAAUGUGUUCUGAAGAUCGAUGUGGAAUAAAACAUUAGCGGGUGAAUUCCAGUCUAAGCUCCCCCAGAGUCCCAACAUCAAGAAAUCAAUUGCCCGUAGGUAAAUAAUGGGAUCCGGAUUCACCCCGGUACAACAUAUUGAGCUCACAGAGUAACUUCAAUCAAAUGCCCUUAUAUGCAGUUAUAUUAAUUAUAAGAUUCGAGUAUCGUAGAGUAAAUAUCGAACAAAUAUUGAACUGUACUGUACCGUCAUAACCGCAUGAAUGCGUUAUCAAUGCGUUAAGUGAGUGGAGAACGCAGUACUACAAUGCGCAAUCCGAUUUUACGUAAUUCCAUAACUCCCACAAUCUGCAGCGUAAUGAUCCAGAUCCAGAUCCAGAUCCAGAUGCCCAUCGAACUCAUUAAGCCUGCAUGGCAAUGGCGCGCAAUAAUACGGAUCAUCGGUAAAUAAAUAGAUAGAGCAGCAGGAAGCUGUGCCAUGUAGGAUGCAUAGCUCAGCGUAACCAUUAAGCCACCUAAAAUAUAUAUAUAUAAAUAAAUUCCAGAAUCAA